rnacentral:rRNA from 1 species
GCUAUCAUGCAGUCGAGCGAACGGACGAGAAGCUUGCUUCUCUGAUGUUAGCGGCGGACGGGUGAGUAACACGUGGAUAACCUACCUAUAAGACUGGGAUAACUUCGGGAAACCGGAGCUAAUACCGGAUAAUAUUUUGAACCGCAUGGUUCAAAAGUGAAAGACGGUCUUGCUGUCACUUAUAGAUGGAUCCGCGCUGCAUUAGCUAGUUGGUAAGGUAACGGCUUACCAAGGCAACGAUGCAUAGCCGACCUGAGAGGGUGAUCGGCCACACUGGAACUGAGACACGGUCCAGACUCCUACGGGAGGCAGCAGUAGGGAAUCUUCCGCAAUGGGCGAAAGCCUGACGGAGCAACGCCGCGUGAGUGAUGAAGGUCUUCGGAUCGUAAAACUCUGUUAUUAGGGAAGAACAUAUGUGUAAGUAACUGUGCACAUCUUGACGGUACCUAAUCAGAAAGCCACGGCUAACUACGUGCCAG